UACGUAGGGUGCAAGCGUUGUCCGGAAUUAUUGGGCGUAAAGAGCUCGUAGGCGGUCUGUCGCGUCGGCUGUGAAAACCCGGGGCUCAACCCCGGGCCUGCAGUCGAUACGGGCAGACUAGAGUGCGGUAGGGGAGACUGGAAUUCCUGGUGUAGCGGUGAAAUGCGCAGAUAUCGGGAGGAACACCGGUGGCGAAGGCAGUUCUCUGGGCCUUACCUGACGCUGAGGAGCGAAAGCGUGGGGAGCGAAUAGG
rnacentral:rRNA from 1 species